UGGGUGGUAUAUUUCAUCUAAAGCUAAAUAUUGGCCAGAGACCGAUAGCGCACAAGUAGAGUGAUCGAAAGAUGAAAAGCACUUUGGAAAGAGAGUUAAACAGUACGUGAAAUUGUUGAAAGGGAAGCGCUUGCAACCAGACUUGCGCUCGAUGCUCAGUAGGUCUCGUGCCCUAUGUUUACUCGUCGAGUUCAGGCCAGCAUCAGUUUGGGUGGUUAGAUAAAGGCUUAGAGAAUGUGGCCCUCUUCGGGGGGUGUUAUAGCUCUAGGUGCAAUGUAGCCUACCUGGACUGAGGACCGCGCUUCGGCUAGGAUGCUGG
rnacentral:rRNA from 1 species